UUUUUGACCAUAACGUAAUCUUCUUAAGGGAUAAAAUUCAAUUUAAAUUUAACGACCACUUACAGAGGUGCAUGGUGCACAAUUCCCUAUGAAACGAUGAAGCUCCGAACAGAUAAAACCAAGAAGAUUGAUAUUAUCACAGACUUUACUGCAAACAUCAAAUGAUGCAGUUAAAGUUGUGUUUUUGAGCCCUACACAUUCAUACAUACAUACAUACAUUAUAUUAUAUAUAUAUAUAUAUAUAUAUAUAUAUAUAUAUAUAUAUAUAUCAAAUAACAUUAGAAGUGGAAGUGGUCCAUAAAAGAGAAGUUUGAAAAUGAUGAUAAAUAAAUGUGUUGAAUAUUAAAUAAUACCAGCACAAGAUGGGAAGUAGCACCAGCUUAUUGGUCUCCAAUUCAGAAUUAUCUCUCUCUCUCUCUUUCUCUCUCAACUUUUCAUGUUAAAGGAAAACUCAUUACAAAAUCUACAGCAAAAAGAAGAAGAAAUAAGAAAAGAAAAAGGAGAUAAAGCAUGGUAGGAAAAAAAACCAUUGUACUUACUAUUCAUAUUCUCAUCUAACUGAAGUGAUUUAAGGAGAGACCUAAUUCAGAAAUUUAAGCAGCUAGCGGAGCCAUAUAUAUCUGCUGAGAGAAAGGAAAAAAAGUAUGAUCGGAAGGAACAGAAAUGUUAGAUUCCCUCUCUGCAUAAAACGCCAACCCCACUUUCUUUCUACUACUAGAGAUAUAGGGAAUCAAAGUAGUUUCAACAAUUAUUUCAGUCUAAAAGGAAACAAAAAAAGUUCAGUUUGAUAACGUCAAUUUUCUGUUAUUCUUUACCCAAAUUCUCAGGCUCUUUGUCGCCGCCACAACACAAGCUUCAGAAAAACCAGCUAAAGAUAACAAAUUCCCAGAGCUGCCUUCAGAGCCUUGAUUAUUCUACCCCAAGAAAAUAUGAUGGUGUUGCAGAACAAAGAAAAGGGGAGAAAAACAAUGUGCACCCUAAAUUCAGCAUUCAGCAUUCAGCAUCCAGAAAGAAAACCAAAAGGUUCAAAAGCAAAAUCUGAUUGGUCAAAGAAUACAUUUAUGAUGCUAGAUAGAUCCAAAAGAGGUUUUUCACCCAAAGGAACACCUACGGAAUGCCCUAGCACAGACUAUAUAUAUCUAUAGUAACACACUGUACCCUUCAUAAAUGUAUAGAUCCAUAGACUAAGGGAAUGCAGUGAUAUGAUCAGAAUCAGAUACUGAGAGAGAGAAACUAUAUAUUCAUUAUUUUAAGCAGCAGAAAAUAUUUGGCAACUAUUCAAGGAGAAGAAUAAGAGAAAAGAACAAUUCCAGAAACAGCAAACCCGCAACUGCUCUCUGCAACAUUGGAAUGUACACUGUUUCCAGGUACUUCACCUAAUCUUUGAGACUAUUCAGUGUUCCAAAACAUGUCGUACAACACUUUUAGUCUACAAAUCUGGAUCACAUCCCAAACAUGAAGCAACCCCAUUUUCAGGCUUUUCAUAAGCUUUGAUUUGGUAACAAAUUUCUGCAAAGUGACCAUAAAAGUGUGUACGCAUAACCAAAUCCAUAAUUUAGAGAAGUAAAAUUGUGCAGAUCUGUGUGUGGUCUCUACGAAAGCUGAGAAGCCCUAGGGUGCUGCAAAGGGUGUGAACAGUGAAUGAGAAACCCUAAUGCGGAGGGAUAAUGCCAAAGCGUGCCUCGUUUGUCAUUGAUUGAUUGAAUGUUCGUACAUGUGGAGAUAAGGGAUGGGAUGAGUGAUGAUAAUAAAAAGCAAGAAGCACAGUGGCGUCCUUUGUGUUUUCUUGUGUCGACAAAGAUG
rnacentral:lncRNA from 1 species